GGGCCGGUAGCUCAGCAUGGCUAGAGCUUGAGCGACCAUAGCGUUCGGCUGAUAACCGAAAGGUCGAGAGUUCGAAUCUCCCCCGGCCCA
rnacentral:tRNA from 1 species